rnacentral:rRNA from 1 species
UACGGAGGAUGCAAGCGUUAUCCGGAAUGAUUGGGCGUAAAGCGUCCGCAGGCGGCUGUGUAAGUCUGCUGUUAAAGAGUGAGGCUCAACCUCAUAAAGGCAGUGGAAACUACAUGGCUAGAGUGCGUUCGGGGCAGAGGGAAUUCCUGGUGUAGCGGUGAAAUGCGCAGAUAUCAGGAGGAACACCGGUGGCGAAGGCGGGUCUCUAGGCCGACACUGACGCUGAGGAGCGAAAGCGUGGGGAGCGAACAGG